rnacentral:rRNA from 1 species
GACGAACGCUGGCGGCGUGCUUAACACAUGCAAGUCGAACGGUGAAGCGCCUUCCUUUUUGGUGGGUGUGGAUGAGUGGCGAACGGGUGAGUAACACGUGAGUAACCUGCCCCCUUCUUCUGGAUAACCGCAUGAAAGUGUGGCUAAUACGGGAUAUUCUGGGUCUGUCGCAUGAUGGGUCUGGGAAAGAUAUUGUUUCGGUGGGGGAUGGGCUCGCGGCCUAUCAGCUUGUUGGUGGGGUGAUGGCCUACCAAGGCGGUGACGGGUAGCCGGCCUGAGAGGGUGGACGGUCACACUGGGACUGAGACACGGCCCAGACUCCGACGGGAGGCAGCAGUGGGGAAUAUUGCACAAUGGGAGCAAGCCUGAUGCAGCGACGCCGCGUGAGGGAUGGAGGCCGUCGGGUUGUGAACCUCUUUCGCCAGUGAAGCAGGCCUGCCUCGUUUGUGGGUGGGUUGACGGUAGCUGGAUAAGAAGCGCCGGCUAACUACGUG